rnacentral:rRNA from 1 species
UACGGGGGGGGUAAGCGUUGUUCGGAAUUACUGGGCGUAAAGGGCUCGUAGGCGGCCAACUAAGUCAGACGUGAAAUCCCUCGGCUUAACCGGGGAACUGCGUCCGAUACUGGAUGGCUUGAGUUUGGGAGAGGGAUGCGGAAUUCCAGGUGUAGCGGUGAAAUGCGUAGAUAUCUGGAGGAACACCGGUGGCGAAGGCGGCAUCCUGGACCAACACUGACGCUGAUGAGCGAAAGCCAGGGGAGCAAACGGG